rnacentral:lncRNA from 1 species
CGGCAGUCGCCGUAAUGGCUAAUAUAUAUGAAUUCUACCGUUUUACCGACAUUGAUUUUAGAUUUUAUUUUCAUGUUUGGAUUUUCUUGUUGUUUUUUUACACAUUAGGAAUUUUUAAUUGUAUCACUUUUAUCUAGCAAAUGAAUUAUGUUAUUCUUUUCUAUCUACCUCAUUCUUUUUUUUCGAUUUUAUGUUUCAAUUUCAUUAUACCAU